AAAACCCGUGCUUUUCCGAAGCCCUGCGUUCCAUGCUGGGUACUUUGUAGGCAAAGCAGGGGAUUU
ncrna:unclassified sequences DTF3800-VIII RNA